GUAGAACGCUGAAGGAGGAGCUUGCUUCUCCGGAUGAGUUGCGAACGGGUGAGUAACGCGUAGGUAACCUGCCUGGUAGCGGGGGAUAACUAUUGGAAACGAUAGCUAAUACCGCAUAAAAUUGAUUAUUGCAUGAUAGUCAAUUAAAAGGUGCAAUUGCAUCGCUACCAGAUGGACCUGCGUUGUAUUAGCUAGUUGGUGAGGUAACGGCUCACCAAGGCAACGAUACAUAGCCGACCUGAGAGGGUGAUCGGCCACACUGGGACUGAGACACGGCCCAGACUCCUACGGGAGGCAGCAGUAGGGAAUCUUCGGCAAUGGACGGAAGUCUGACGGAGCAACACCGCGUGAGUGAAGAAGGGUUUCGGCUCGUAAAGCUCUGUUGUUAAAGAAGAACACGUAUGAGAGUAACUGUUCAUACGUUGACGGUAUUUAACCAGAAAGGGACGGCUAACUGCGUGCCAGCAGCCGCGGUAAUACGUAGGUCCCGAGCGUUGUCCGGAUUUAUUGGGCGUAAAGCGAGCGCAGGCGGUUAGAUAAGUCUGAAGUUAAAGGCUGUGGCUUAACCAUAGUACGCUUUGGAAACUGUUUAACUUGAGUGCAAGAGGGGAGAGUGGAAUUCCAUGUGUAGCGGUGAAAUGCGUAGAUAUAUGGAGGAACACCGGUGGCGAAAGCGGCUCUCUGGCUUGUAACUGACGCUGAGGCUCGAAAGCGUGGGGAGCAAACAGGAUU
rnacentral:rRNA from 1 species